ACUUCCCGCCCAGAAGCUGCCGCGCCGGCUCCAUUUUCUGCGGCUGUAUAAGGAAUAGCGCUCCGGUAGCCGGGGAGCUGGAGGGGAACCUGAUUUGAGAUCAAUUCUUGGAGAACACAAAGAAGUGUGGUGGUAUGUUCCAGGAUUGAACCAGCUGCCCUUUGACCCUGCCAACAACAACGAACCCCUGCAGUUUGGUAGUGCCGGUGGCCCUUUGGUCACAGAAGGCCUCAUUGAGAAUGGAGGGGAGUCAAGCAAGAAAAGAAAGAGAGCAAAUACUC